rnacentral:rRNA from 1 species
GCAAGAUUAAAACUCGAAGGAAUAGACGGGGACCCGCACAAGUGGUGGAGCAUGUGGUUUAAUUCGAAGAUACGCGAAGAACCUUACCUAGCCUUGACAUAUUUUAGAACUCCGUAGAGAUACAGAGGUGCCUUCGGGAGCUAAUUUACAGGUGCUGCACGGCUGUCGUCAGCUCGUGUCGUGAGAUGUUGGGUUAAGUCCCGCAACGAGCGCAACCCUCGUCACUAGUUACUAACGGUUCGGCCGAGGACUCUAGUGAGACUGCCUUCGUAAGGAGGAGGAAGGUGAGGACGAUGUCAAGUCAUCAUGGCCCUUACGGCUAGGGCAACACACGUGCUACAAUGGCCAGGACAGUGAGACGCGAUACCGCGAGGUGGAGCAAAUCUAUAAACCUGGUCUCAGUUCGGAUUGUAGUCUGCAACUCGACUACAUGAAGCUGGAAUCACUAGUAAUCGUAGAUCAGCUAUGCUACGGUGAAUACGUUCCCGGGUCUUGUACUCACCGCCCGUCACACCAUGGGAGUUGAUUUCACCCGAAGCGGGGAAGCUAAACUGGCUACCCUCCACGGUGGAAUUAGCGACUGGGGUGAAGUCGUAACAAGGUA